rnacentral:tRNA from 1 species
GGGCCCGUAGCUUAGCCUGGCUGGAGCGCCCGGCUGAUAACCGGGAGGCCAUGAGUUCAAAUCUCAUCGGGCCCA